UAAGCCUGUGAAGGUGUGUCGUGAGGCAUGCUGGAGGUAUCAGAAGUGCGAAUGCUGACAUAAGUAACGAUAAAGCGGGUGAAAAGCCCGCUCGCCGGAAGACCAAGGGUUCCUGUCCAACGUUAAUCGGGGCAGGGUGAGUCGACCCCUAAGGCGAGGCCGAAAGGCGUAGUCGAUGGGAAACGGGUUAAUAUUCCCGUACUUGGUGUUACUGCGAAGGGGGGACGGAGAAGGCUAUGUUGGCCGGGCGACGGUUGUCCCGGUUUAAGCGUGUAGGUGUGUGUUCCAGGUAAAUCCGGUUCACUUUAACACUGAGGCGUGACGACGAGGCACUACGGUGCUGAAGCAACAAAUGCCCUGCUUCCAGGAAAAGCCUCUAAGCAUCAGGUAACAUCAAAUCGUACCCCAAACCGACACAGGUGGUCAGGUAGAGAAUACCAAGGCGCUUGAGAGAACUCGGGUGAAGGAACUAGGCAAAAUGGUGCCGUAACUUCGGGAGAAGGCACGCUGACACGUAGGUGAAGUGAUUUACUCAUGGAGCUGAAGUCAGUCGAAGAUACCAGCUGGCUGCAACUGUUUAUUAAAAACACAGCACUGUGCAAACACGAAAGUGGACGUAUACGGUGUGACGCCUGCCCGGUGCCGGAAGGUUAAUUGAUGGGGUCAGCGCAAGCGAAGCUCCUGAUCGAAGCCCCGGUAAACGGCGGCCGUAACUAUAACGGUCCUAAGGUAGCGAAAUUCCUUGUCGGGUAAGUUCCGACCUGCACGAAUGGCGUAAUGAUGGCCAGGCUGUCUCCACCCGAGACUCAGUGAAAUUGAACUCGCUGUGAAGAUGCAGUGUACCCGCGGCAAGACGGAAAGACCCCGUGAACCUUUACUAUAGCUUGACACUGAACAUUGAGCCUUGAUGUGUAGGAUAGGUGGGAGGCUUUGAAGUGUGGACGCCAGUCUGC
rnacentral:rRNA from 2 species